GCACGUCUUAAUGUUUCAAUCGGGUACCUUUGCCGAUAGUAAGGUCAAAUCGGCUGGCACGCCUUAAUGUUUCAAUCGGGUAUUAGCCCUUUGCGUUUGCAGAUCCACUUUUUGCAUCAACAAUUCCACCCCAAUCUACUCCAACACAUGUGGAUUGAGGUGAAUCUGACAACAUCCAAACAAGGCCUGAUAGAUUUCUUUAUCCAUGUGUGAGCAUAUCCAUGGUGAACAAAUCUUUCCGUACAGGUCUUUUUUAUCAAAAAAAAAAGGAAAAAGAAAAAAAAAAGACUCGACUGCCGCCAAAACAGCGUUUUCCCUCCACUCCAUCCGUGUCUCGCGCUCGAACUGGGCCACGGAAUUUGUUGGGCCCAAUGGCGCAUAUCUUUCGUGGGCGGC
rnacentral:lncRNA from 1 species